rnacentral:misc_RNA from 1 species
AAGUCGUAACAAGGUAACCGUAGGUGAACCUGCGGUUGGAUCAUUAAAAGAAGGGUCGGGAUCAUCGUGGUCCAAGUGGUCCGUCCACUUGGACCACGAUGAUACCGGUGAUCCCGGAGGAAGGAAGCAGGGGCGGGUUGCUCAGGCAUCCCCUGCUCUGCUUUUUGUCCCCACGUUGUGUGAGUUUUUUUAGUUUUUUUUUUUACUUGUCCUCUGGACGCAAAACCAAAGAAAACAACUUUUGGCAACGGAUCUCUUGGCUCUC